rnacentral:rRNA from 1 species
AUUGAACGCUGGCGGCAGGCCUAACACAUGCAAGUCGAGCGAGCGGCGGACGGGUGAGUAAUGUCUGGGAAACUGCCUGAUGGAGGGGGAUAACUACUGGAAACGGUAGCUAAUAACGCAUACCAUAAGAUGUGCCCAGAUUGGAUUAGCUAGUAGGGUGGGUAAUGGCUCACCUAGGCGACGAUCCCUAGCUGGUCUGAGAGGAUGACCAGCCACACUGGAACUGAGACACGGUCCAGACUCCUCCGUGACGCAGCAGUUUGGAAUAUUCCACAAUGGGCGCAAUCCUGAUGCAGCCAUGCCGCGUGUAUGAAGAAGGCCUUCGGUUUGUAAAGUUCUUUCAUCGCGGCGGCGUUACUCGCAGAAUAAGCACCGGCUAACUCCGUGCCAGCAGCCGCGGUAAUUC